GAUGAAGAACGUAGCGAAAUGCGAUACGUAAUGUGAAUUGCAGAAUUCAGUGAAUCAUCGAGUCUUUGAACGCACAUUGCGCCCCCUGGUAUUCCGGGGGGCAUGCCUUUCCGAGCGUCAUUGCUGCCCUCAAGCACGGCUUGUGUGUUGGGCCUCCGUCCUCCUCCCGGGGGACGGGCCCGAAAGGCAGCGGCGGCACCGCGUCCGGUCCUCGAGCGUAUGGGGCUUCGUCACCCGCUCUUGUAGGCCCGGCCGGCGCUUGCCGACACAUCAAUCUUUUUUCCAGGUUGACCUCGGAUCAGGUAGGGAUACCCGCUGAACUUAAGCAUAUCAAUAAGCGGAGGA
rnacentral:misc_RNA from 1 species